AAGCUCGUAGUUGAAUUUCGGGAUCAAUACGUCGGUCGUGCUUCGGUACGUACUGGCGUCAUUGAUUUCUCCCUUCUGACGAACCACGAUGUCAUUAACUUGGUGUCAUGGGAAAUCAGGACUGUUACUUUGAAAAGAUUAGAGUGUUUAAAGCAGGCUCACGCUUGAAUACAUUAGCAUGGAAUAAUGAAAUAGGACGUUCGAUCCUAUUUUGUUGGUUUUAUGAUCAACGUAAUGAUUAAUAGGGAUAGUUGG
rnacentral:rRNA from 1 species